UUGGGGUGAGGCUGUGAAGAUUGUCU
rnacentral:piRNA from 1 species